rfam:Proteiniborus sp. DW1 genome assembly, contig: DW1_contig28
UCGUGCUAGAUGGGGAGGUAGCGGUGCCCUAUAACCUGCAACCCGCUAUAGCAGGAUUGAAGUCCCGGCCCAGGCAUCCUAUUGUGGGGUCUGCCCUAGGAAAGUGAUGUUGACGAUUGGGUCUUGCGCAACGGAAAUUCAUGAACCCCGUCAGAUCCGGAAGGAAGCAGCGGUAAGUGAACACUUCUGUGUGCCGCAGGGGAGCCUAAUCCGAGUUAACUGCUUAGGUAACGCUUGUAGUAGUAUGUCAAAGCUGGGUGCACGA